CGGCGGACGGGUGAGUAAUGUCUGGGAAACUGCCCGAUGGAGGGGGAUAACUACUGGAAACGGUAGCUAAUACCGCAUAAUGUCUACGGACCAAAGCGGGGGACCUUCGGGCCUCUUGCCAUCGGAUGUGCCCAGAUGGGAUUAGCUAGUAGGUGGGGUAACGGCUCACCUAGGCGGCGAUCCCUAGCUGGUCUGAGAGGAUGAUCAGCCACACUGGGACUGAGACACGGCCCAG
rnacentral:rRNA from 1 species